GCAAGUCGAGGGGUAACAUGAGUAAGCGUGCUUUUUUGCUGACGACCGGCGAACGGGUGCGUAACGCGUAUAGAAUCUACCUUGUACAGGAGGAUAGCCUUUAGAAAUGAAGAUUAAUACUCCAUAAUGUUGGGAUGUGGCAUCGCAUUCUAAUUAAAGAUUUAUCGGUACAAGAUGACUAUGCGUCCUAUUAGCUAGAUGGUAAGGUAACGGCUUACCAUGGCAACGAUAGGUAGGGGGUCUGAGAGGAUUAUC
rnacentral:rRNA from 1 species